GUGGGGAAUCUUGCGCAAUGGGCGAAAGCCUGACGCAAUCAUGCCGCGUGGAUGAUGAAGGUCUUAGGAUUGUAAAAUCCUUUCACCGGUGAAGAUAAUGACUGUAGCCGGAGAAGAAGCCCCGGCUAACUUCGUGCCAGCAGCCGCGGUAAUACGAAGGGGGCUAGCGUUGCUCGGAUUUACUGGGCGUAAAGGGCGCGUAGGCGGACAUUUAAGUCAGGGGUGAAAUCCCGGGGCUCAACCUCGGAACUGCCUUUGAUACUGGGUGUCUUGAGUAUGAGAGAGGUGUGUGGAACUCCGAGUGUAGAGGUGAAAUUCGUAGAUAUUCGGAAGAACACCAGUGGCGAAGGCGACACACUGGCUCAUUACUGACGCUGAGGCGCGAAAGCGUGGGGAGCAAACAGGAUUAGAAACCCUGGUAGUCC
rnacentral:rRNA from 1 species